ACUCCUACGGGAGGCGGCAGUGGGGAAUUUUGCGCAAUGGGGGAAACCCUGACGCAGCAACGCCGCGUGAGUGAUGAAGGCUUUCGGGUCGUAAAGCUCUGUCAAUGGGAAAGAAGUGUAUUGGGGUUAAUACCCCUGAUGCUUGACGGUACCCAUAAAGGAAGCACCGGCUAACUCCGUGCCAGCAGCCGCGGUAAUACGGGGGGUGCAAGCGUUGUUCGGAAUUAUUGGGCGUAAAGCGCGUGUAGGCGGUUUGAUUAGUCUGAUGUGAAAGCCCCGGGCUCAACCCGGGAAGUGCAUUGGAUACUGUCAGACUUGAAUACGGGAGAGGGUAGUGGAAUUCCUAGUGUAGGAGUGAAAUCCGUAGAUAUUAGGAGGAACACCGGUGGCGAAGGCGGCUGCCUGGACCGAUAUUGACGCUGAGACGCGAAAGCGUGGGUAGCAAACAGGAUUAGAUACCCUGGUAGUCCACGCCGUAAACGAUGAGAACUAGGUGUUGCGGGUA
rnacentral:rRNA from 1 species